UGCAGGCUCCGUGCUGGUGCAUCGAACUGUUGACGCUCUGUCCGCUUCAAUCUUUCCCCAAGUGAAUCUCUUUCCUUGAGGGUUCGCGUGGUAUCCUGUGUUGCUUACCAAUGAAAUGGAAUUCAAUGUUUUUGUUUAGCGGAUUCGCCUAGKGCUCUUUUGGGCACGGGGUGGACGUGAGGUGAGCACUGUGUUCCCAACAUGCCUACAUGCUCUGGCAUAUGGUUGUUGUGGCCCAUGGUGUCUUCGCUUGUUCUCUUGGAUGCGGAAAGCUAUGUGUGGGCGUGAGRYCUAGRMCUCAAAUCGUUGAUGCACACUAUCCUUUGACUCGAAUGACUGCUGCGCCCGUCUUGAUCUCUCCGACCAAGGYCUCUUAAUGUGGCUUACUGGACGAGGAGGGCUCAUGCGGGUGUUGGCGUCUAAGAGGAAUGCU
rnacentral:misc_RNA from 1 species